rnacentral:rRNA from 1 species
AGAGUUUGAUCCUGGCUCAGAAUCAACGCUGGCGGCGUGCCUAACACAUGCAAGUCGAACGCGAAAGUGGAGCAAUCCAUGAGUAGAGUGGCAAACGGGUGAGUAACACGUGGGUGACCUGCCUUCGAGCGGGGGAUAACGUCCCGAAAGGGACGCUAAUACCGCAUAACAUCCUGCCUUUUAAGAGGUGGAGAUCAAAGCCGGGGAUCGCAAGACCUGGCACUUGAAGAGGGGCCCGCGCCUGAUUAGCUAGUUGGUGGGGUAAUGGCUCACCAAGGCAACGAUCAGUAUCCGGCCUGAGAGGGCGGACGGACACACUGGGACUGAGACACGGCCCAGACUCCUACGGGAGGCAGCAGUGGGGAAUUGUUCGCAAUGGGCGCAAGCCUGACGACGCAACGCCGCGUGGAGGAUGAAGACCUUCGGGUCGUAAACUCCUUUCGAUCGAGACGAAUGGUUUCCGGGUGAACAAUCCGGAGAAAUGACGGUACCGAGAGAAGAAGCCCCGGCUAACUCCGUGCCAGCAGCCGCGGUAAUACGGGGGGGGCAAGCGUUGUUCGGAAUUACUGGGCGUAAAGGGCUCGUAGGUGGCCAACUAAGUCAGACGUGAAAUCCCUCAGCUUAACUGGGGAACUGCGUCUGAUACUGGAUGGCUUGAGUUUGGGAGAGGGAUGCGGAAUUCCAGGUGUAGCGGUGAAAUGCGUAGAUAUCUGGAGGAACACCGGUGGCGAAGGCGGCAUCCUGGACCAAUACUGACACUGAGGAGCGAAAGCCAGGGGAGCAAACGGGAUUAGAUACCCCGGUAGUCC